UCCAAACCCGUUUUUAACCGUUAGCAAACAUUUUGCUGCCUCUGUUUAGCUCUGUUUACUUGACUCAAACCUAUGAAUUAAAACACCAAAAGAACCCUUCCUUUAUUUCCAGAUCUUUAUCUUAAAAAGUCAAACAUAUGGGUUUCAAAGUCAAAGUCAAACUUAAAUUCAAAAUCAGAGCAUUCGAAUUCCCUAUUCUUUCUUAGCUGCAGUGUCCUCUUCGUUCAUCUUUUUCUCCCACUUCUUCUUUCUGUAAUCCGCAAGCAUUUGAGGCAUUUUCUUCAUCAACUCGGCAGUGUUGGCUCGUUUUUCAGCCGAUAUUCUAUCACAUUUGUGUCCUUUUCUUUUUGUCCGCAUUUCUUUCCUUUCGGGAUCAUAAGGCCAAUCUUCUCCGGCUAACAAAACUUCUUUACGAAGGCGGGCCCUACGUCUAGCACUAAUCCCAAGCGGCUUCCAUGCCCCCAGAUGCCAAUAGCCCCAAACGCCCUUUGACAGCUCGUCUUUGUAUUUUGUUAAUUUAUCCCUCCAUGGGUACUGGUAUUCACCAACGGCUUUUGCAACUGAUUUGAUUGAAUUUCCAGCCAUUUGCUAAAUGAGAUUCCAAGAAGUGCGAAACUUAACUGAGUUCAUGAGACGUCAAUAGCGACGGUGCACGGCGGCGAAGAAGACAGGUGAAUCGAUACCGAAAACUGAAAAUGGAAAACCCUAGAAUCAGUGGGGAGGUUUUCUUGUUAUAAGAUAGU
rnacentral:lncRNA from 1 species